CUCAGUUCCUCUCUCGGGCCACACACGCCUCUCUCUCUCUCUCUCUGUGUGUCACGUCGGAGAACUCGAGUUGCGCCAGUUGACUUUUGAACCCAGAUUUCGUACCAUCGGACGACCCUGUCGCUAGAGCUCUCAGCUCUUCGCCAUGAAAACUUCCAAAUGGAAUCCACCAUUUCUUUAUCGUCUUCCUCUCUGCUCCUACCUUCGCCUUCCCUUGCUCCAAAUCCCAAGCUUCAUUUUUGCUCCGGCACCUCCACCAUCCGAGCCUCAAAUCCUGAACCUUCCUCCUUCCUUCUCUUUCCUGCCAAAACCGGCCAAUCCGAUCUCAAAGCUCGAACCAUCAGCCGCAAGACGACAGCUUCGUCCUCGUAGACGUUCCUCACUUGACCGAUUUCCUCCCAAACUUGCCGUCAUAUCUGAAUCCAUUGCAACAGAGCCAAGCUGUUUUCUCGAAUUUCUUUGGACACCAAAACGCUCUGGUCCCAGAUAUUGUGGGCUUCCAAUCUAUUUUGGAUACCUCAAUCGAUUUUGGCACCAAUUUGAUUUGGGCACCCCUACAUCAUCAAUGUCACUGACAUGCGCUGAUAACCAACUCGAGAGGUCGGCAACAGCGAAACCACCUUAUUUUAUAUUUUAUUCAAAGUGAUGCGGGAGCCAAGUUCAUAUUUUAUUCAAGAAGUUUUUCCAGUUACUAAACACUAUAUAAUUAAGAGGUUUGUUCUUCAGGGUGUAAGAAAUGCAAUUCACAUAUACAGUUUCAGGUUAUUGUCUUUUGAAUCUCUUCAUGCCAUGAUGUUUGAUGUAUUAACUGUCAUAACUCUUGUCUUUUAGAAUUCUUAGAUGCAUUAAUUUGGUUCUUUGAAUGAUUCACGUAUCAAUGGCUCUAUGAAAAGAGCCAAGUUGUUAGCUUUGAAAGAUAAGUUGAUUGUGAAAUUUCUUGAUGGUUUCUUCUCGUGUGUGAAGCAUGGGUUGACUUGGAGUGAUUCCAAGGCACCUUUGGUGUGUUGUGGAAAGUUUCUGACUGUGAAGCUGGUAGUUACUAUCCUUUCCUAUGAUUUAUUCCUUUUUUACUACAUCUUAUCUGUGUACUUUGUUGAUAGAGGGUCUAAGCCUGUCCUUUAAGGCACAAGGCGUUCAGUUCUUGAGUUGAGGCUAAUUUGUCGUGCUUGAUAUAUGCAUUGAUGACAUUAUGACAAAUAACAUUCAUACUUCACAUUAGUCUUUUGUUUUUUCCCCUAAUGUCAUCUUGUGUACAAGGCUAUGUGGCUUCCUUGGUGCCCUCAUGUUUCAAACUGGUGUAGCUGCAACAUAUCAUAAUUAAUGUUGUUCAUAGGGAAUUGAGCAGGGCAUGGUGACACCAUCUCUUUUAGUCCAAGUGACGGAAAUGAAAAGCAUGGACAUGGGUUUGCAAAGAAAUCUGUUCCUUUGUUGACUGGGACAGCAUAUUGCAUUUCAUCGUGCAGCAUGAUAUUGCUGAAUAAAGUUGUUCUAUCGAGUUACAACUUCAAUGCAGGAGUUUCAUUUAUGUUUUAUCAAGUAUGUCACCUACUUUACCGCUCACUUAGUUCCUUUUCAACCACAUUGAAUCAUGUGACAUCUGUCUUAUUAUGAGUUUUACGAUUAAAGUACCAUCUUUGUUACGCGUCCUUCUGUUGUGUGUAUUUUCUAGGUAGGCUGAUAGUUUAGCGUUAUCUCUUUUUUGAUGAUCAUUAUGCAAAUCCACAAAGUUAGCCAACCACAAUGGAAUCAGAUUCCAUAUGAUUUCUGCAGAAUUUGGUAAGUAAUGUAAUUGUUGUAUUCUUGGGCUUCUCUAGAGUUGUUACUGUGGAAAAACUCAAUUGGAAACUGAUUAAGGUCUGGAUCCCUGUUAAUGUAAUCUUCAUCGACAUAUGCUUGUAUCAGGCAUGUAUAGGUAAGUGGUGUGCUUCAUUGUUUGCAUUUUAGGUUAUCUUUUUCAUUUGGAGCUUAUUAUCUGUUCAUGCCUGGAAAUAAAAAGAAAUAGAAGAUGACAAAUUCUGAAGAGAAUAUUGCUAAUAAGAUCCACAGUAUAUGUUCAUUUGAUUUGUGCAUUAAUAUUCCUUAUUUUGUGCAUAUUGCAGAUCCUGAUUUCCUAUUUUAUGAAGACAUCGCAUCAUGAAGAGUAUCUCUGUGUCAAGGUGCGAUGUUGGGAGAUACAACAGAGUGGAGGAAAUGUUGAACACUGGAAUAGUGCCAAAGUAACCCUAUGCAAUCAUUGGGAGAUCAAGCUUGGAACACCCAACAAAUUGUUUUCUUCUUUAUCAUCAUGUAAAGCUUAUGAAACUUGAAAGCUUGUUAAGCUAAUGAAAUAGAUUAAUGCUUUAUGAAAUUGUCUUUGUUGGAU